CACAGGUGUCACACAAGCAGGCCUCACAGGGCUUUGUUCGCAAACGCCAGGGAGAGAGUGUGUACAACAUCAACAACAUUGUCAUCCCCAUGUCUCUGGCUAAAGUGGAAAAGCUGCAGUAUAAAGACAUCCUGACACCCAGUUGGCGGGUGGUUGACACCUUAUCUCUGAUGAACAGUGAGGCAGAGAAGGAGGAGGACAAUGAGGAGGGGCAGGUGGAGGAUAUCACUUACAAAGUUGUUGCCCAGACUCACCUGGAUUUAGAGCAAAGAGAGAAGUUGCGCUGGCCAUCAUUGGGAAAAAGAAAAUGCUGCAGACGUCCUAAAAGAUCUGGCAGCAGGUUGUCAGGCAGUGGGGGCGGGAUGUGCACGUCAGGAGAGGAGAGCUCUGUGGAAUUGAGUUGUGCUCAGCUGCUGGAUACUGAUGAACAGCAAAGCUCAGAGGAGUGGCUGCCUCAGACACCCUGGGAGCCACGAGUGUUUCCUUUAGGAGAGGACGAGGAAGACGCCCUGCUCUCUGAUAACCUAGAAGAAGUCCCACCAGGGUGGUCAGAGUGUAGCUCUGCCCCCUCCACAUCAAAGAACUCCAACGCCCAUCUCUCCCAAGCUCCGUGCUCUGGUGCUACACUGCCAUCUGAUGGACAAACCCAGAGCAGCUGAGAGAGCAGUGCCUUACUUUUACAUAUCUCCUCACGUCUGGGACCAUGAAGAGAACAUGUGCCGUGGUAACCUUGAUUGGGAUACUUAAUACAUUCCAGAUUUGAUGUUGUUUACUUAAUACCUUAAAGCAAAAGUGUUUUGUAAUUUUAUUUUGUGAGUAUUGUAGCAUGUGCCACAAUAGUUUAAAUUGAUUCCUGUAGCUUCUGCUACACUUUCAGAUUUUAAUGUACAAGAGGUACUUUAUGUAAAUAAAUAUGUACCGGCACAACCCAACUGUAGUCUCAGGUUUGUAUACUGUUUGUAGUUGUCACUUAAUAUUUAUUCAUUCACCGUUGUCUUAAAAAGUCGCUAUAGGAAGACUUUAGUACAUGCAUAUAUUUAUGUAACUUUUACUUUAUUAAGAAGUGCUUUUUUAUUUCAUGUUUUUUCAUGUAUAUCUUUUUUUGAAAGGUAUUAUUAAACACUAACUUUAGUAAACAU
rnacentral:lncRNA from 1 species